rnacentral:rRNA from 1 species
CCUACGGGAGGCAGCAGUGGGGAAUAUUGCACAAUGGGCGGAAGCCUGAUGCAGCGACGCCGCGUGAGGGAUGACGGCCUUCGGGUUGUAAACCUCUUUCAGUAGGGAAGAAGCGUAAGUGACGGUACCUGCAGAAGAAGCGCCGGCUAACUACGUGCCAGCAGCCGCGGUAAUACGUAGGGCGCAAGCGUUAUCCGGAAUUAUUGGGCGUAAAGAGCUCGUAGGCGGUUUGUCGCGUCUGCCGUGAAAGUCCGGGGCUCAACUCCGGAUCUGCGGUGGGUACGGGCAGACUAGAGUGAUGUAGGGGAGACUGGAAUUCCUGGUGUAGCGGUGAAAUGCGCAGAUAUCAGGAGGAACACCGAUGGCGAAGGCAGGUCUCUGGGCAUUAACUGACGCUGAGGAGCGAAAGCAUGGGGAGCGAACAGGAUUAGAUACCCUGGUAGUCCAUGCCGUAAACGUUGGGCACUAGGUGUGGGGGACAUUCCACGUUUUCCGCGCCGUAGCUAACGCAUUAAGUGCCCCGCCUGGGGAGUACGGCCGCAAGGCUAAAACUCAAAGGAAUUGACGG